UGAGGACAUUAGUGUAUGACCGUGAAACUGUAUCUUUGGCAGAAGGGAGCAAGGCUUACCAGGUAUUCUCUCUGUUUGACCCCUGCAGAGGCUGGGUGGAGUUAUGAAGCCAUGAUUUCACCUCACAAAGCCUGGCCUUCUGGACUAGUUGGUGGCGGAGCAUGAUUCUGUGGAAGGCACCCCUGGGGAGUACACAUUUCCAGUAUAACUAGUCCAAAGGCCAGAUUCAUCCCUGAACUCAAUGAACAUCAGCAGUUAAUUCUAGGGAUAAAGCCUGCCCUUAGUUGGUGAAGUUGCACAGAAAUGUUUAAUGUAACACUGCCACUACAGUGCAAGAAAUGAACAGGAAAAAUCAGCAAUUAGAUGAUGCCAGCAAACCAAAACACGUCAAGAUACAGCAGUCAUUUCUUCAGGACAGGGUAAAAAGAACAUGAGCUGGUUGGAUUCUAGCAGACUACAUUUCAGAGGGAAAACAAUUCCACCAGGAGGGCAGGAACAGCACCCCAGAGACAGCAAAUGAAAAAGGACCCUGGAGAACCUGCUAAUUCGCAUGGACAGAAGAAUCCAGGAACAGUUUGAUUUCCUCAGGGCACAGGAGGAUCAUACUUUUCAGCAGGAAAAAGCACUGAUGAACUGGUUCCUGGAGCAGGAGACAUGCCUCGGGUACUGGGACUAUGCCCAGAGGGAAUGGGAAUUUGCCCAAAGGGAACUGGAUCAUGUAUUGAUACAAUCAUGUAUUCAGCUGGUGGUGGAACACAUUCAGGGCUCACCUGCCGUCAUAGCUGCAGCCCCUCUUUCAGAACUUCACCACCUCCUUUUGCUUCUCCUCCUCCCCACCCCCAUCUCCGGUUGCUUCUCAGGGUGUUGUUGCUCAGAGAAUCCAACCCCAACUAGUGACAGGAAGGAGUCUGCUGAAGAACGGGCAGAACACCAGCUGCUAGCACCUGAAACCCCUUGCAGAGGAAACCACCAUAGCAUGCAGGUAGGGGAAGAUGAGCCCAUGGUUGUCCACCAAGCCCAGUAAGUGUCCGGUUCCCAAACCCCACACAGGAGAAAUCCCUGUUUGUCCCGCUGAGCAAUUUUCCACAGCAAUUCCCCAGGUGGUGGGCAAGGAGUUGGGUUUAGAAACAAUAAAAUGUACACAUUGCUCAA